ACGGAAGGCAGCAGUGGGGGAUAUUGCACAAUGGGGGAAACCCUGAUGCAGCGACGCCGCGUGAGUGAUGAAGUAUUUCGGUAUGUAAAGCUCUAUCAGCAGGGAAGAAAAUGACGGUACCUGACUAAGAGGCUCCGGCUAAAUACGUGCCAGCAGCCGCGGUAAUACGUAUGGAGCAAGCGUUAUCCGGAUUUACUGGGUGUAAAGGGAGCGUAGACGGCGUGGCAAGUCUGAUGUGAAAGCUAUGGGCUCAACCCAUAAACUGCAUUGGAAACUGUCAUGCUAGAGUGUCGGAGAGGUAAGCGGAAUUCCUAGUGUAGCGGUGAAAUGCGUAGAUAUUAGGAGGAACACCAGUGGCGAAGGCGGCUUACUGGACGAUAACUGACGUUGAGGCUCGAAAGCGUGGGGAGCAAACAGGAUUAGAUACCCUGGUA
rnacentral:rRNA from 1 species